rnacentral:rRNA from 1 species
UACGUAGGCAGCAAGCGUUGUUCGGAGUUACUGGGCGUAAAGAGUGUGUAGGCGGUGGCCUAAGUUUGGUGUGAAAUCUUUCGGCUCAACCGGAAAACAGCUUCUGAUACUGGCGAGCUUGAGGGAGGUAGGGGCAGAUGGAACUUCCGGUGGAGCGGUGAAAUGCGUAGAUAUCGGAAGGAACGCCGGUGGCGAAAGCGAUCUGCUGGACCUCUUCUGACGCUGAGGCGCGAAAGCCAGGGGAGCAAACGGG